rnacentral:snRNA from 1 species
GGAUGUGAAAAUAAUCUGGCUGUGACAUGUGUCACCCCCAUUGAUCAUCAGGGUUCAUUCAGCUGAUCUGGCUGGCUAGGCAUAUGUCCCCUUCCUCCCUCACUGUUCCAUGUACUUCUCUCUCAGAGCUGCACACUCGGUCAAGGAAGAUGACUUUCCCAUAGAGGAGGAACAUUCUUUGGUCAAGGGUAUAUGAGUAGCUGCAUUCCCCUGCUAGAACCUCCAAACAAGGUCUCAGGGUCCAUUUGUAGGAGAAUUUAGGGUAGUCAAGCUUCCAAGACCCCAGACACAUCCAAAUGAGGCACUGCAUGUGGUAAUCUGCCAGAA